rnacentral:snRNA from 1 species
AACGGCUCUCUCGGGAGC